CCUGAGACUUUAGGUCUCCUGAAGGAACGUUGAAGACGACGACGUUGAUAGGCCGGGUGUGUAAGCGCAGCGAUGCGUUGAGCUAACCGGUACUAAUGAACCGUGAGGCUUAACCUU
rnacentral:rRNA from 1 species